UGUUUUUAUUCCUCAACAGUAGCUACUGUUGAAGGCAGCAGGUAGGAGCUACCUGAAGUAUGGUAUGAUUGGAAAUUAUUGUUCCAGUGCCUUCAUAUGCCACAUUUGGUCUCUUUAUCCUCUCUGUCGUAGGUAACUAUCUUACAGACAGAGCAAGAAAAGUAAAUUCACUUGGCUGUUCCAUAUCUCUGAGGAACCUGAUGCAUGAGUGGACUAGAGAAGAGAAAGACAGAAAAACUCCAAAGACCUACAGAUCAUCUGGCUGGCAGGGCUCUCACAUCUCAGUCUUGAAUGUUUUCUGCAACUGUAAUUGGUAAGUUGAUGUACUUGAAGGGAGCUUCCCUACAAGUGGAGCUUUGGGCCUCAUUAUAAUUCCUUU
rnacentral:lncRNA from 1 species